CCUGCCCACUGAAAUUUUUGAAGGGCCGCGGUAUUUUGACUGUGCAAAGGUAGCAUAAUCAUUAGUCUUUUAAUUGGAGGCUUGUAUGAAUGGUUGGAUGAGGUAUUAACUGUCUCAAUUUAAUAAAUAAAAGAAUUUUAUUUUUAAGUUAAAAAGCUUAAAUUUUAUUAAAAGACGAGAAGACCCUAUAGAUCUUUAUAAUUAAAUUUAUAAUAAUUUUUUAGAUUAAUUUUAUUUUUAUAAGUAUAAUUAUUAUAUUGGGGUGAUAAAAAAAUUUAUAAAACUUUUUUUGUAAAUUAACAAUAAUAUUUGGUUAAUUGAUCCAUUUUUUGUGAUUAUAAGAUUAAGUUACCUUAGGGAUAACAGCGUAAUUUUUUUGGAGAGUUCUUAUCGAUAAAAAAGAUUGCGACCUCGAUGUUGAAUUAAAGGUUAAUUUUAGGUGUAGAAGUUUAAAAUUUU
rnacentral:rRNA from 1 species